UGAGCAACCUGCCCUUAGCUCUGGGAUAACCCCGGGAAACCGGAGCUAAUACCGGAUACUCCGGUCGAACCGCAUGGCUCGAUCGGGAAAGCUCCGACGGUCUGGGAUGGGCCCGCGGCCUAUCAGCUUGUUGGUGGGGUAACGCCUACCAAGGCGACGACGGGUAGCUGGUCUGAGAGGAUGGCCAGCCACAUUGGGACUGAGACACGGCCCAGACCUCCGUACGGGAG
rnacentral:rRNA from 1 species